rnacentral:tRNA from 1 species
CGGGGUGUGGCGCAGCUAGGUAGCGCGCUUCGUUCGGGACGAAGAGGUCGUGGGUUCAAAUCCCGCCACCCCGA